rnacentral:rRNA from 1 species
GACGAACGCUGGCGGCGUGCUUAACACAUGCAAGUCGAACGGAAAGGCCCUGCUUUUUUGGGGUGCUCGAGUUGCGACCGGGUGAGUAACACGUGAGUAACCUGCCCUUGACUUUGGGAUAACUUCAGGAAACUUGGGCUAAUACCGGCUAGGAGCUCCUGCUGCAUGGUGGGCGUUGGAAGGUUUCGGCGGUUGGUGUUGGACUCGCGGCGUAUCAGCUUGUUGGUGGGGUAGUGUCUUACCAAGGCUUUGACGGGUAGCCGGCCUGGGAGGGUGACCGGCCACAUUAGGACUGAGAUACGGCCCAGACUCCUACGGGAGGCAGCGGUGGGGAAUAUUACACAAUGGGCGGAGGCCUGAUGCAGCCACGCCGCGUGCGGGAUGACGGCCUUCGGGUUGUAAACCGCUUUCGCCUGUGACGAAGCGUGAGUGACGGUAAUGGGUAAAGAAGCACCGGCUAACUACGUG